GGCGGUGUGCUUCACGAAGGGGGUCAGCGUCAAUAUGUACUCAUUUUGGAGUUGGCUCGCUUUCGUAAUGCGAAGGUCGUAGGUUCGACUCCUAUUAUCGCGC
rnacentral:tRNA from 1 species